GACGAACGCUGGCGGCGUGCUUAACACAUGCAAGUCGAACGGAAAGGCCCUGCUUUUGUGGGGUGCUCGAGUGGCGAACGGGUGAGUAACACGUGAGUAACCUGCCCUUGACUUUGGGAUAACUUCAGGAAACUGGGGCUAAUACCGGAUAGGAGCUCCUGCUGCAUGGUGGGGGUUGGAAAGUUUCGGCGGUUGGGGAUGGACUCGCGGCUUAUCAGCUUGUUGGUGGGGUAGUGGCUUACCAAGGCUUUGACGGGUAGCCGGCCUGAGAGGGUGACCGGCAGCGGCGGGACGAGGGGCAGACCAAGAAUCCAUGAGGGGGAGGGAGGGGGGAGUAUGGGAGGGGGGGCGGAUGCCUGCGGCAGCAACGGCGCGGGGGGGAGGUCGGCCGGGGGGGAGUAAUCGGCUUUGGCCUGGGACGAGGCGUGAGGGGAGGUAGUGGUGAAAGAGGCACAGGCUAACUACGGACCAGCAGCCGCGAAAAACACCGAAAGAGCCACCGUGUAAAC
rnacentral:rRNA from 1 species